UUAAGGGCUUUUAUCUGGUUUCCAAAGUCAGGGAUUUUAGGGGAGGUUUCAGGAGAGGAUCUCAAUAGAAUGUUCUUCAGCUUCCUGGG